GCACUACUGAGGAGUCCCGCAAUAGGACGAGACGGCUGUCCAGUGC
rnacentral:hammerhead_ribozyme from 1 species